CGGACGGAGCAGGAACUGGAGGGCAGGACUCUGUUUACAAAACAGCUGCCCGCUUUGGGUCAUCUUACUGCAGCAUUUCGGCUCCCGCGGAGGGAAAAUAGAUAAAAUCUUCUCCGGAGGAAUUAAAGUCCAACCUGCUCUUCCCGAUUUCAUCAUUAAAGCUUUUAAGCGCCAAAGCUGUCUUCCUUUUCGAUGAAACUUCACGCAUCACGGACGCCGCAUGCCAGCCAGUCCUCAUGGCGUCAACGUCCCAAAGUGUCUGGGGAGGGGCGGAGGUGGUUCCCAGAUGCCUGAAGGAGCGGUCCGCCAUGUGUACACCCCCCGGUGACCUUAAGAUGAAGGAGAAUCACGUCAGGUCUGGCGUGGCGAGAACUCGGGAAAAACAGCCCGGGCGUGGUCUGCUGGUGCCACAGAACCGGAGGAAUCAGUGAGACGGGCCACCGGCGUCCCUGAAACGGCAG